UACAGAGACUGCAAGCGUUAUUCGGAUUCACUGGGCGUAAAGGGUGCGCAGGCGGUCGGGUGUGUCAGAUGUGAAAUCCCGAGGCUCAACCUCGGAACUGCGUCUGAAACUACUCGACUAGAGUACUGGAGAGGGUAACGGAAUUCACGGUGUAGCAGUGAAAUGCGUAGAUAUCGUGAGGAACGCCAGAGGCGAAGGCGGUUACCUGGACAGUUACUGACGCUCAGGCACGAAAGCAUGGGGAGCAAAAGGG
rnacentral:rRNA from 1 species